CCUCGAAUAAUCACCCUAACGACUCUCCUCUGAGUUUUUGCAUUUCUUAAUUAAGGAGCGACUGCUUCCAUUCCAGAAGUCCUUUGUGAUUUUAAUUUACAUGUUGAUGGGUUCUACGUUUGCAAGCUCUGAAGCUGCUCUUCUGGGCUGAGACAGUCGCCCAUACAUGGGAUGCGCUCAGCACUGUACCGGUCGGUAGAACCACAAACGGGCGCCGCCCGCAAGGAAGGCCUGACCCGGCAAAGCGAGAACCAGCUGUGUGUUUUCAGUCAUCUUACAGUCCUGGGCGUGCGACUCUCAGUAAUAACGACUCUUCCGGCGGUCUGCCUGGGAGGGAAUGGAUGUGAAUAGACAAUAUCUGACAAGAAACACAAGACUCCAAGUCUGAUGAAGCUAUAAAAGAUUUCAGAUGUACAAAAACCUGGCUUUGCCACCUCCGGCUCCUCUGCAUUGUUAGUAAACUGCAAACAACUCCAUGUGACCAGUGAAAUGUCUGAAUGGGCGUGUCUCUUUCCUUUCCUUUUUUUUUUUUUUUUUAAUGUUUAAUCCUUUAUAUUGAGUGAGGCAGAGAGAGGGAAAGCGCUGGGGAGGGGCAGAGAGAGAACCCCAAGCAGACUCCACACUGUCAGUGAAGAGACCAACGCGGGGCUCGAACUCACGAACUGAGAGAUCAUGCCCUGAGCUGAAACCAAAAGUCAGAUGCUUAACUGACUGAGCCACCCAGGUGCCCCCACAUGUCUCUUUUCAGCUAGUCAUCUGUUAUGCCCAGAAUUCGUGAUCCCCAAAUACCGCCAGGGAGCCGAGUCCGAUGCAAAAGCAAAAGAGCCUUUAUUCGAGCUAGCUCGAGCUCAAUCCCCUACCUGCACCAACGCAGCGGUGAGAUACCAGGGAGAGAGAGCGAGUUUCAAAAGGGCAAAGGUUUUAUUGGGGCCUAGGGGCAGUUGGUGAGGUAAUGACUGUGGCCUUAGCUGAUUGGCUGGAGAAGGGUCGUGGCCUCGCCCGAUUGGCUGGGGAAGGGCCGGAGUCCUGUUACGCAGGUCGCUGGGCGUGUUUUGAUCAGGAAGUUUGAACAGGUGAGCGGGAGGUUACUCAAGGAGAGGAGGCGCGGUCUGAGGUUUCUGUGAUUUUUCCCGGAAAAGGGGUCAUGUCGGGGACAUAGUCACUCAAGGUGGAGGACACAGAACAAGAUGGAGUCGGCUGGUGUAGGCCGACCCUUUCACAUCAACACAGUAAGUACUGUUGAGCCCCUGCCAUGUGCCAGGGACAUGCCAACCAUGAGGGAUGAACUGGCGAACAUGAUAUACUGUAGCCACCUUGCUUUUGGCACAUGGCUGUAUUUUGGACACAUGUG
rnacentral:lncRNA from 1 species